UACGUAGGGGGCAAGCGUUGUCCGGAUUUAUUGGGCGUAAAGAGCGUGUAGGCGGCCUGGAAGGUCAGCUGUGAAAACUCGAGGCUCAACCUCGAGACGUCGGUUGAAACCACCUGGCUAGAGUCCGGAAGAGGAGAGUGGAAUUCCCGGUGUAGCGGUGAAAUGCGCAGAUAUCGGGAAGAACACCCGUGGCGAAGGCGGCUCUCUGGGACGGUACUGACGCUGAGACGCGAAAAGCGUGGGGAGCGAACAGG
rnacentral:rRNA from 1 species